rnacentral:rRNA from 1 species
AUUGAACGCUGGCGGCAUGCUUUACACAUGCAAGUCGAACGGUAACAGGGGAGCUUGCUCCCGCUGACGAGUGGCGAACGGGUGAGUAAUGCAUCGGAACGUACCGAGUAAUGGGGGAUAACUAUCCGAAAGGAUGGCUAAUACCGCAUACGAUCUUAGGAUGAAAGUGGGGGACCUUCGGGCCUCACGUUAUUCGAGCGGCCGAUGCCUGAUUAGCUAGUUGGUAGGGUAAAAGCCUACCAAGGCGACGAUCAGUAGCGGGUCUGAGAGGAGGGUCCGCCAAGAGGGGACUGAGACACGGCCCAGACUCCGACGGGAGGCAGCAGUGGGGAAUUUUGGACAAUGGGGGCAACCCUGAUCCAGCCAUGCCGCGUGUCUGAAGAAGGCCUUCGGGUUGUAAAGGACUUUUGUUAGGGAGGAAAAUUUAUCCAUUAAUACUGGGUAAAGCUGACAGUACCUAAAGAAUAAGCACCGGCUAACUACGUGCCAGCAGCCGCCGUAAGAC